UACGGAGGGUGCAAGCGUUAUCCGGAUUCACUGGGUUUAAAGGGUGUGUAGGCGGAUAUUUAAGUCAGUGGUGAAAUCUCCGGGCUCAACCCGGAAACUGCCAUUGAUACUAUUUAUCUUGAAUUCUGUUGAGGUGGGCGGAAUACAUCAUGUAGCGGUGAAAUGCUUAGAUAUGAUGUAGAACACCGAUUGCGAAGGCAGCUCACUAAGCAGACAUUGACGCUGAGGCACGAAAGCGUGGGGAUCAAACGGG
rnacentral:rRNA from 1 species